rnacentral:rRNA from 1 species
AACCAGACUCCUACGGGAGGCAGCAGUGGGGGAUAUUGCACAAUGGGGGAAACCCUGAUGCAGCAACGCCGCGUGAGUGAAGAAGUAUUUCGGUAUGUAAAGCUCUAUCAGCAGGGAAGAGAAUGACGGUACCUGACUAAGAAGCCCCGGCUAACUCCGUGCCAGCAGCCGCGGUAAUACGGAGGAUGCGAGCGUUAUCCGGAUUUAUUGGGUUUAAAGGGUGCGCAGGCGGUCUGUUAAGUCAGCGGUCAAAGCCGGGGCCUCACCCCCGGCGAGCCGUUGAAACUGGCUGUCUUGAGAUGUCGAGAGGUAUGCGGAAUGCGCAGUGUAGCGGUGAAAUGCUUAGAUAUUGCGCAGAACUCCGAUUGCGAAGGCAGCAUACCGGCGGCGAUCUGACGCUGAGGCACGAAAGCGUGGGUAUCGAACAGGAUUAGAUACCCGUGUAA